GGUUUUAUGGAUCAGAUGGCCAUGACUCUGGAUACAGGGAAGUGCAAUACGUUUCUUGAUCAUGUCAAGACCAUCUAACAAAGAUCUAACUCACUGUUCACUUAUGAACUUCAGGAGGCCCGUCAAAGUCACAAGAGAAUUGGAGUGAUACGCAAAGAUACUACAACGGAUAAUCAACAAAUAGUGGGCCUCUCUUAUCCCAAAUGCAGCUGUAGAAACUGUGUUACAACUUACAAGAUUUAGCAUGGGUUCAAGAGAUCGAUGAUUGAGACCAUUAAAAAGGAGAAACAUUAUCUGUAUUAUGUUAGAAGAAAACAGACACGAACCCUCUCAAAGCCAAGUCCCCUCCCCCCAUGCAUGUUCGUAUUUUUUUUUUUUUU